UUUCUCUUUGUUCUCAACAUCCAUAGGCAUGUCUUUUGUUUUAUUUUUCCUCUGGCUGACAACGACUAAUCAAUAUAAUGCAAUCCUUGGUGAAUGUCCAGAUUUUGUCACCGGUGACUACUAGGGUGUAAAUGAGCCAGAUCAGCCUAUAGGGGGCUACGGCCUGGCAUACGUAAAGCCUGGUCCAUCUCAGCCUUCGAGCUUCUACAUCAGAUCUCACGACUCAGGAGUCUCACCUUAGUCUCACCAAAACCUAAUUUCUUUCGAGCCCAAACGAUCAAGUUUUAGUCCCUUACCGCCGGUCACUCAUCUAUUAAGAAAAGUGGUUCGGCUUUCGAUCUGCGUCCAAAGAAAAGCAAAGCUAUCAGAAGGCGCCUCACCAAGAACCAGGAAGAUGAUGUUAAGAAGGCUCACUAGAAGAUUGUGAAGUGCCAAGAAAAAUUCAAUCUUUGUUGUUGUUAAAAAAUCUGUUGUAGAAUUUUUAUAACAUGUGUUCUUGUUAAAAAAUCUGUUGUAGAAUUUUUAUAAUUUGGACCCAUGCUGGAAAUAUUGUUUAAUGAA